GUUUUCCCCAGCAAGGAGUUAUUCGAGUACCUUCCUACCUUUUGGCCUCUUAGGUGAAUGGGAGGACAAGGCAUGAGAAGAAUGAAAACCUGAAAAUUACAAAAUGGUGCCUCUGACUGUGCUGGACUGAAUGAAGAGCAAAGAUUCUAACAACAGCAGAGACAACUGACUAUUGGCAAGAGCACUACACACAAG